AUCAUGAUGAUAAAUUUUAAUCAUGUAUACCAAAAUGUUACCAAUAGUGGUACUGAUAAAAACGGUUUAUUUUAUAUGUGAUGUAAAACAGUUAUUUUCAUGGUGUAUGAACAAAUUGAACCCGGGUCAUGUAGAAUUUGGAUCCCAAUUAUACCUUUGGUAACAGUGUGGAUCUAGUUGUCUCUGGAUUAAAUUAAUGUCUAUUGAUUUAAAAGUCCUGGGAAGCAGCAACUUCUGGCCGUGCUAGUUAUAGCUGGUAACGUCAUAUAAGUUAUUAUGAUGAUCACAAAUUAUAGACUUAUAAUAUAAGUCUAUGUAACAAAUCUAUACCAGAAUUAAUUUUAUUAUUGAUAAAUACAAACUAUUAUUAGUUAUUAUUUUUGUGUUUUUCAAUUAUUAAAUUAAUGUGAAUUAAUUAGUCAUUUAAUAAUUCCAUAUGAACUUUGUAAAAAUAAAUAAUGUUUAAUAAACAAAUUAAAUUUAUCUUGUACAUACUGUAACUUUAUUUCAAAUUCAAUAAUAUAGUAUAUGCUAUCAACACUUUAUAAUGAUAGACUUCCACAUUAUACUGUUAUAUUAGUUGUUCAUUAUUAUAUUUAUUAUUUAUCGGUUAUCACAAUUCCAUUUCAUAUUUAAUAAGUACAAAACUGACGAGACACUGAAAUAGGUGCAUAUAUAAUGUGUACAAAAUAUACCGCACACAUACUUGUAGGUAUUAGGUAGGUACAAUGUGUCACCAACUGUAUCAACCAAUAACUGUUAUAGGAAAAAAAAAGAAUUAAAACAUAAUAGAUAGAAAAUCAAAGUACCAUCUGAUUACAAACUGCCUGGCCACACGCCUGAAAAUACAUACUACAUUAAAAAAAAAAAACAAAAUCUGUACAAAUAAUUCUAGUAUACAAAUUUUUACUGAAUGAACCUGAAUUGUAACUUUUAUAAUCUGGUAAAGAUAACUGAUAAGAUCUCUUGACUCAGUAGGUACUAGGUAGCCUUUAGGUUUAAUUUGUUAAAACAAAAUGAACUUAUUAUUCAUUUCGUUUAAUAAUGAAAUAGUAAAUUGAUCAUUUGAAUAGAUCCGAUCCAAAUGAAUUGAAUCGUUCAAAUAAUCUGUUUCCUGUUUUUAGAGAAAAUGAUUCUGCUUUAGAAUGAAGCAGCAACUCAAAUUCAAUAUAUUUUUAGUUACUUACUAUCCUCUUUGUUUGAGUUAUCCUAUAUCCUAUAUAAUAUGACUAUUCACAUACAUAUUAAUGAAAAUAUUACAUUUAUUUUCAGAUUCAAAGUGUUCUACAAGAUAUGAAAAACAAAUUCCAAGCAAUGUCUGACCAAAUCAUAGCAAAAAAUAUCCUUUUUUCACUGUAUCAAUUUUAUUUUAAUUACAUUUUAAUAUUUUAAUAACAGGAUUGCUACCUGGAAAACCCAGAAAUAUCAGAAAAUUUUCAAUUUUUUAUGGAAAUUCAGGGAAUGAGAAAACAUAUUUUAAGUAUCAAAUUAGAGUUGUAGUUAUAUAAUAUAAUUGUAUAUAGUGUUGUAUCAAACUUUAUUUAAAAUUUGCAUAUUAGCUUAUUAGCUUUAGUUUAUCCUUUUCCACAACACACAAGUAUAGUUGGUGUGUCAAUGCCAGUUAAUUAAUAUCUUAUUAGGUACUCUGACUAGAAACUAGAUUGACACACUCAGUUUAUAUUUUUCUAUUACAUUGUAUAGUUAUUUAUAGAAAAUUUUAUUUUAACGUUUUUGAUAUUUUUCUGUGAUAACAUAUUUAACACUAUAUGGAUUAGAAAGUAUUUUGCUGAGAGUUUAUUCUUAGAAGUUCUUAAAUCUGAUAUCUUUUCCAUUCCAUUAGAUGAAUCACUUUACAAAGUAUCUUAAAAAGAGCAAAUGAAUGUAUAAUACAAUAGUGAAAUUUUGGUGCAAGUCUUCUCGUAAAGUGACAUCAUGUUUUUUAGAACACACAACUGCAAUUGAUUUAUUAGAAGCUUUGAAAAUAUUCUAAAGAAUUUUUGCUAUAAUAAAAUUAUAUAAUUAUCAAUGGGUAGGCUUUUUAUUAAUAUUAAAGUUAUAAUGGCUUUAGAAAUGAAAUUAGCUAACUCACUUAAAAUUAAUACGGUUAUAUAUUCCGUCAAAAAACAAAAAAAAAACUGUUUUUAUUUCUUUUAUAAUUAUAGGUGUCUGUAGCAUCUCUAGAAAGUAUCCUAGAAAAUCAGGGAAUUUUGUGAUCUAAGAUUUACAGUAACUCUAAAAAACAAAGUAUGGUCAUAAAUUUGUAUUAUUAAUUUGUUUAAUAUAUUUUUAGAUUCGAAGCAGAGGUGUCUAUUGAUUUUACUAUGAUAUAUGUGGUUUGGUUUUUUUCUCUUGUAAACAACUAUUCUACCAGAAAUCAUUUUUUGUUACUUUUUGGAUGUGAUACAAAUCUUACACAUAUACCGAGAAAUAUAAGAUAUUAGUAGGUUUAUGAUAUUUUAUAGUACUUUAAAAUUAGAUAUUACUGAAAUUGCUUUUGCAAAAUAAAAUGUAGGAUUUAAAUUCUUAACAUGAUGAACAGUAUUUAUAUUUGAUAUCUAAUUUAAAUUUUUCAAAAUAAUAUGUAAAUGCUUGGAAUCCCUAACCGCAAUGAUUAUUGUAACAAAAAUAAUAAUUUUCUUAACUAAUAUAUGAAUACUAGAUGACAUGGGAACGCGUAUAGAUGAUUUAGAAAAAAAUAUUUCAGACUUGAUGAACCAUGCUGGUCUUGAAGCUCCAGAGAAAUAAUAUUUAGAAAACUAUCAUAAUUUUGUGUAAUGAAUUUGGCCUACUCAUUUUAUAUAUUACUAUAUUUAUUUAUUAUUUUACUAUCAGAAUUUAAAAAAAACUUGUAUGUAAGAAAUGUAAAAAUUUAAAAAAAUGAAAAAUUUAAUGAAUAUCUGUUUUUAUAUACAUAAAAAUAUGGAGGAUUUUAUUUAUCAUGUGCAUUUAUUUUUUAUGGUAACCAUUAGUUUCUUACCACACUUACAUUGCAAUAAAUAAUUAAAGAUUUAUUAGAGAUUAAAGAGUAAAGAGAUGCCAAUGUUAUUAACUGUAAUUUAAUUAUAAACAAGCAAUUUAUAAAUAUAUGUUUUUUUUUAUAUAUAUAUAUAUAUAUAUAUAUACCAUUUCCACCAUCUAUUACCUCUGUAUAGGUAAAAUAAUAUUACUAUAUUUUAUUCUUCAACAACAAAUAUCUAGUGACAUAUUAAAUGGUUUCAUUGUUAAACUGCAAAAUGAAUUGAUGAAAUAAUUAAGUGUAUUGAAUAAACUACUAUAGUCUACAAUAAUUGUUUAUGCUUAUUAUCUAGUUUUUACAAUUUUAAGUUUCUGAGUAGAACAAAGAACUUGUAAACAGUAUAAAAUACUGUGUGUUUUCUCUAAAAUCUAUUUCCUAAAAAAAAAUAUUCAAAAAGUUACAUAAACGGUACACUAGAUUUAUAACCAGACAAUAGUUACUGACUUUAGAAUGAUUGUGUUUUCAAAAUUCAACAAGCAUAUAAACAGACUGUGACCUUUUAACUCUACUCAGACAUUUUUAACCAAAAUAUUAAAAUUAAAUUGUACACUUAUUAUUUGACAAUAUAUUAUAUAAAUAUUACUUUUUAGUUUCUUCGUGUAUCUUAUGUAUUUUACUAUAUUUAUUGGUUGA